AUGCCAGUGUUGAAAUCUCAGGUGUAGUGUCAAAUAAAGAGUGUGAGUGUUGUUUUCACACCACACAGCUUUAAAAUAACACUGCCAGUGUAAAUUCCGUAAAAUUCGCGUUGUUAAAUUCCAGUGUUAAUUGGUUGGUGUUGCUUAAGCCCCGCCUUCGCGUAACGGCUGCAGAGUUCGUUCUACUUUCUGUCGUCACGCCAGCAGUCAGUCGAUCGGUACGGCUUCAUUUCGCCACGAAAGACACAAUUCUUUCCUAAAGGAGAGUCCCUCCUGUCAAUGUCCGCAUCACCUGUGCCCUGAAUUGUCACCCGCUUUCCCAGUUUGAAAAAUAAUUGCUCACCAACUGGCUAUGAAAAUUUCUACGAUCCUCAAAGUGGACAGGGCUACCUGGCCUAUCGAUUGAAAAACGCUCAGCGUAACACUGCAAGUGACUUUAAGAGGAACUCCCUGACUGCUCAAGAACUACAAGGCAGACCUCAACAUCUGAACAGCUGUUUGGUGAUGGAUGCAAAGAAGCAAUGUCCAUAAUGAAGCAUGCAUCAGACCAGGACGUUGUUAAGGGGAAAAUGAAGGCAACAUUCAAGCAUAGACAGAAUAUGCUACAUGAUCUGGACCAGUCAUCACUCAUCUUGGAUCACUUCCCAAGAUUCUUGGAUACACCAGGCUUGAUUGAGCAGGACUUCAUCAUGCUCUUUGGAGAAGACAUCUUGGGGAAGUUUGUUGCAAGAUGGCCAACGUUCUACAAACCAAAGGUCAUCACUGUCAGGCCUUGGACAGAGCGUUCACCUGGAUGACCUUCUGUCUGCUCAGGAGGAAUCAAGUGAUUAUGAAUGGGACAGUGACUUGGCAGCCAUUCUCCUGCUGGUUCAUCUCUUGCCUCCAACCGUCAAAGGGAAGAAACAUGUAAAAGUUAGUGCAGCUGAGGCAGCUGAUCGUGUUGUGAAGUUCAUGAAGGUUGGAACAAGCAUGGCAACAUUCCUUGGCAAAGUUGGAUCUGCACAGCCCUUCCUCCUCUGCGUUGGAGAGAAGAAGAGCAGUUUUCUGAAGUUCUACAUCAUCCUGGAUCAGAAGCCAAUUCCUUGUGCGCACAGACUGCAGUGGCUGCCUUCGAUGAACUUUUAAGGCACACUUUGUGUUUGCUGUGUCCUACAAUGCAACCCUCCUCAACUUCUACACAUUCAUCCAAACAACAAUUUAUGGGAUUGAUGCGGCAACAGCAAAGGAGAGCCUCAGAGUCGAGGAAAUCAGAGUGAGAAUUAACAACACUUAAAUAUGCCAACAUGUUACAUUUGUAAGGUUCAGCACAGAAAUUCUUCAACUCUUUUUCAGCGUUUGAAAUUUAGUCAUGCUUUGUAUCCAGGGCACAAAUUGCAUUUUAAACGUGGGGAACAUAGCUGUUCAUAUGUUUUUUUACACAUAUUCUGGGUUCAAAAAGCACUAGAUUCUGCUAUAGAUUCUUUUUAUGUGGACAAUGUUGGAGCAGAUAAUGCUGAGACUGAUGAUGUUUGUGCUGAUGAUGCAUUGAGUAGUACUUCUGUUAGUCAACAAGGACUUCCUAAAAAGAGGCAGUUAAUGGACAUGUGUAGCUCUGUUAUUGCCCAAGUUCAAACAUCUGGACUUUCUGGAAAUCUUGUGCAAUCUUUAACUUGUUCAAUGGAAGAGGUUGUUAAUGAUGUUCAUAUUCAAGCACAGGAUGCUGUUCUUGCAUAUCUUUCAUCUGAAGUGAAUGAGCAAACCUUAAACAAAGUCAAAGAAUGUUUUGAGAACAUGGAAAAUCUAUUCACACACCUUAACACUGUUUUGUAUGAGCUGUGCAUUGAAGGUCUGUAAUACUGAAAUGGGUUUAAUAAAAGUUUAACUUUCCAUUUCUGUGUAUUGUUUUGAAUAUUUUUUUACCACUGGAUUUGGUUGAUAUUGACACCUUGUGGGGUCAAUUAUUUACCUUUUUAACACGAUAUUAUAUUUGAGGUUAACACUACACUAGUGUUACUUUUGACAUUAUAUUUUAACACCAACACCGUUGUAAUGUUAAUGUGACACUCCAUAUUGUUGAAUAUUAACAAUAUCUGGUGUUAAUUUAACAAAAAAAUGGGUGUCAAACUUUUAACACUUUGAAAAGUGUUACUUUAACACCAGCUGACUUGGACACAUAUAGACACUUUGUGGGUGUUAAAAUUAACA